rnacentral:rRNA from 1 species
CCAAUAGCGUAUAUUAAAGUUGUUGCAGUUAAAAAGCUCGUAGUUGAAUUUCGGGAUCAAUAUGUCGGUCGUGCCUCGGUACGUACUGGUAUCAUUGGUUUCUCCCUUCUGAUGAACUAUGAUGCCAUUAAUUUGGUGUCGUGGGGAAUCAGGACUGUUACUUUGAAAAAAUUAGAGUGUUUAAAGCAGGCUCACGCUUGAAUACAUUAGCAUGGAAUAAUGAAAUAGGACGUUUGAUUCUAUUUUGUUGGUUUCUAGGAUCGACGUAAUGAUUAAUAGGGAUAGUUGGGGGCAUUAGUAUUCAAUUGUCAGAGGUGAAAUUCUUGGAUUUAUUGAAGACUAACUACUGCGAAAGCAUUUGCCAAGGAUGUUUUCAUUAAUCAAGAACGAAAGUUAGGGGAUCGAAGACGAUCAGAUACCGUCGUAGUCUUAACCAUAAACUAUGCCGACUAGGGAUCGGAUGAUGUUAAUUUUUUAAUGACUCAUUCGGCGCCUUACG